CCCUUAGAUGUCCUGGGCCGCACGCGUGCUACACUGAUGCAUACAGCGAGUACUCCCAGCUCCGAGAGGCUGCUGGUAAUCAGCAAUAUGCAUCGUGAUGGGGAUAGAUCUUUGGAAUUAUAGAUCUUGAACGAGGAAUUCCUAGUAAUCGCAGGUCGUCACCCUGCGUUGACUAAGUCCCUGCCCUUUGUACACACCGCCCGUCGCUCCUACCGAUUUCGAGUGAUCCGGUGAAUCAUUCGGACCGCGGCCCCUAGGCAUGCGGAAAGUCUAGUAAACCAUAUCACUUAGAGGAAGGAGAAGUCGUAACA
rnacentral:rRNA from 1 species